AUGUUCCCAUUGUUGGUUGGGACUGUUUGGUUCUAUUAGUGCUGUAGUUAAAAUUUAACCAUUAUGAAAUUGUUAAUUUCCAUCUUCUUUACUCCAUUUAUUGGAGAUGUAGUUAAGCAUCUGGCUUGUAUUUUUACUCUAAGGGAGAGAUCGUAAGAGC